UCCACCUCCUCCAAGACCUAGCCGCCUCCUCGACCACCCUCCUCCGCCGCCGCCAUCACCGCCGCCCACCCUUCGCGGCUGCCGAGCGCCCUCCACCACAUCCCUGUGCCAGAUCCAUCCCAGACCAUGACGCCGACCACCGUCCACCACACCCCAGCGCCAACUCCCUCACCGACCACGACGCCGAGCACCCUCCGCUGCCCUGACCACGAUUCGCCACACACCAGCAACCCCAAGCAGCCAAGCCUCCUCCAUGCGUUCUCCCCUGGAAUCACCCCCACCAGCUCUGCCGCUUCCAGAAGCUCCUCCCUCGAGCAGCGCCGCCGCUUCCAGGAGCCCCUGCCCGACCAACGUUGAUGUUCCAGAAGCUCCUUACCCAAGCAGCGCCUCCUUCUCUAGGAGCCUCAGCGCUACCUCGUCGUCCUCUCCCCCAAGCAGAUGCCUGUCCUGCGUUCUUUCCCCUGAGUAGGUCUCGGCUACCUCCGCAGCCCAACCAAUGAGAUUUCUCCGUGUCUUGUGAGUUUGAUUAGUCUCAUCUCUGUGAUUUGUGAGGUUUGGUUUGUGCACAGAACAACUGCUAUAGUUUUGAAAAUUUCUUGAAUUGUUACUUUGUUAGAUAGAAACUACUCCAAAAUAGAGUUUAAAGAAAUGAGAUUCAGACAUUAGACUCCAAAUGAAGUGAUGGUUUAAUUGAAUGAUUAGGUAGAAAAUACUCAUUGGAGCAACAGUACCAGCUGAUAUGGUCGUGUUCUGAAAGUAGACCAUAACCAUACGUGUAGGCUUUUCAUAAUCCAAUAUGUUACCUGCAGCUGAGGAUUUAUGUGGAAUACAGAUUACUCUAUACUUUUAUGACCAACUCGUUAUUGUUACUCACAACCUUUUCAGUUCAGGCUAGAACAAGAAAGCCAAAGUGUCAUGUCUUGCCCCUAAAUUUCAUUUUGCAUAGUCAAUAAAUUAGAAAUGGCUAGUACGGUAAUACCUUUAAUAACAGGAAUGUGAAUUUUGUAAGCUAGCUAGGCCAUACAUGCACUUCCAUCUCUGUCAUACAAGUUGGGCAAACUUUGUGUUUGGAUAUGUACUGCACUAAUUGAUAUAGGUAAUUAUAUUCUUGAUGCUACACGAGGUUUGUCUCCUUUUAUCGCCUGCUAAUUGAUGAUUGGUGAUUAUAGUAGGGCAUGGAUGCUGAUUUAUUUAUUUUUUGCUAAGAGUUUGUAUCAUGUGCCUUUCUGUUCUCAUAGUGAAAUGACAAUGGUGCCAAUAUGGUAUAAGAAUUAUGAUGCUUUAAAUGCUGAUAGGGCCAUUUACGUCCUCUGAUUCGUUGCCCGAGCAGAUCUACAGCAUCCUCUACUUCUUAACUGAUGAAGGCAAGCUGGGGACUGGUCCAUUUGCAAAAGCAGCAAUGCAACCACAAGCAAGCUGAGGAGGUGCCUCAAAGAUACACAAGUUGAUCUACAGGCUGCCCUGAAGAUUUGGGAGACCUACGACUAAGUUGGUGUAGUGAAAUUGUAAUAAGCCUUGUUUGUUGAACCUGGAGAUAUUGGCACGUUUUACGCUCAUUUUGUUUUUUGUUUUGGCACAUAAGUCACAAGUUUUACUCUCAUUUUGAUUGUGUUGCACAUCCAGAAACAUAUGUUCUUUUCCUUUUUGUUGCACGUCCUUGUAUAUUGUUGUCUCAUGAAUGUAUCAAAGGAAAAUACAUAUUUUGUCUAUUAUGUUUAUCGAAUGAAGUUUAAGAUUUUGGAUGAGGCCUA